UUACAAUAGGACAACCAAAUUAUAUUCAUUCAAAAAUAUCAAUUGUUCACAUGACAAUACAGUGUUCAAACAUGACUUCAAAACAUCACAAGCAUAUCUAGAAAGCGCUUUAAGCAUUUUUGUUAAAGAAAAGAGUAACAUGGCUUCAAAGAAAAUGCACUACUAGCAGAUUUUUAGUCUCCAACACUUCAGCACCGCUUCAGGGCAGCUUCCGAACCCAAAUAAUUCUCGCUGAAAAAGUUCAAUCUCCAGGAACACAGAUUAACUGCCAAACCUGCAUAAAAUCAAAACACUCAAAGGCAAGACCAUUUUAAGCAAAAUGAUGAUCCACAAUUCAAUAUGAGAUGUGAUACAAAAUUGAGACAGAGUAGAUGUUGAAUAAUACCAAGAAUUAGAGAAUAUGCUAGUAAUAACACUAGCAAUUCGAGACUGAACAAAUGCACUAUGUAGCCGAUCUAACACUCCUAAAUCUGAAGCAAAAACAAUAUACCAUUUACUAUUAGUAAUCUUAAAUAAAAGCGCGCAAUCUUCACUUCCAUCGCUCCUUCAGAUUGUAAUUCUGUGUACACGCAUUUCCAGAAAUACAGUUGUACAAAAUCCAUCACCUCUGCUGUAAUAAGCGAAGAAACUCAACAUCAAUUAAACUGUUAGCUUGCAAACCAGAAGAAGGGAAAACAGAAGGAUUAUUUAUACAACCAUAUUAAGAAGUCAGGUAAUCAUUGAAUUAGACAUCAAGGCAGUAAUGAAAGUCAAAUGACAAAGUAACAAAACACAAAAAAAUGUGUCAAAUAAAAUUCAAAUGAUAAAAUAACAAAACACACAUCACAUAACUAAGUACUAUAGCAGCAGUAGUUGAGGCCAUACAAACCUGUCAACUAAACUUUGUAGAAUCAUUUCGUACCAUAAGUGCAAACCUAACCACUACUAAUGAUGUCUCAACUACUGCUGCUACGGAGAAGACCAUAUACCUGGUAUAGUUAAGAGUUAGCUUUGGUCAGGUUUAUAAGAUUACCAAAUGUUGGGCACCAUCUGUAAUUAAGAGGACAAAUCUUCAAGCUCUACACAUAUCUAACUCUGCACCAAUUUCUAAUAUAAAUAAAUAAAACAGAGUAAAGGGCAGGAAAAAAAUAUUUUUACAACUUGUUUAGAUGGAGGUAUUUAGUACAUAACAUCCUGAACAUGGUGGCAUGUACUAAGAACAAGAAAUUCAUCAUCAAAUUGUGAUAUAUAUUAAAUUGAGCAAAGAUCAUGUGGCAUAAAUUCAUCAACUUAUUGUGUGGAAAUCGAUAUGAUGGCAAUUUUCACCACAUAACACAGAGGUAGUUUGCACAUAAUAUAUAACAGAGAAGCAGUGUAAUAGCAGGCCUAGUUAACAAACAAUCUACUCUUGGUAGAUGGAUUCAGUGAGAUUAAUGAAUUACUUUCUCUCCAUAAAGAAGAAAAAUCGAAGGUACCAACAGGAGCAUCUCAUGGGCAUUUACUUAUUAAACUAGUAGUUGCUUAACUAACUAGCAGAUCUCACAAAUUCUACACUGCUAGUGCUCGCACAGUGAGAAAAGAAAAAUAGCCAGCAGUAAGAAGUGUUGUGCUCAUGAAGUAACUAAACCAAAAAAAGUAAAAGAGCUGGAUUCCAAAUUAUCUUCUUCAGUGACACAGGGACAUAAGCAUGGACUGAAUUUUUUGUUAGAAGAACAAGCAUGAAUUACGUGUAUUUUCAGUCAAGUUUACUUCCAGCAAUCAUAAUUCACAAAUGUAAAUUGAGCGAGUGCCAUAGCAGAACAUAAGGGCAAAUAGAUGUUUGAGUAAAGUGUAUGCAUAACAUAAAGAGCAUGUGCAGGAAAAGGCAGUGUAGAUAUAAUCACCAAGUAAAAAAUGUUCCUGGUCCAUGUGAGAUGUGCAAAUUAUGUAGGCAAGGGCAGUGCAGAUAUCACUAAGUAAAAAAUGUUUUUAGUUGUACAAAGACCAUUAGAUGCCCUGACUCAUAUGGGAUCCAUCACCAUUAUGUGCAUGCAGAAGAUUGGACACUAUGCAGUAAAAUGAACCUGGCACUGAAAAAC
rnacentral:lncRNA from 1 species